rnacentral:rRNA from 1 species
UUGACCUCGGAUCAGGUAGGGAUACCCGCUGAACUUAAGCAUAUCAAUAAGCGGAGGAAAAGAAACCAACAGGGAUUGCCUCAGUAACGGCGAGUGAAGCGGCAACAGCUCAAAUUUGAAAUCUGGCUCUUGGGGUCCGAGUUGUAAUUUGUAGAAGAUGCUUCGGGUGUGGCUCCGGUCUAAGUUCCUUGGAACAGGACGUCAUAGAGGGUGAAGAUCCCGUAUGUGACUGG